GGCACCCCUUUGAGGGAGCCAUGGAGUCUGGAAAUCCCACACAGAUUCUAACCUGUCCCACUAGUGUUUUGUACGAAAAUAAACACAUGUCCUCCGGCACCGAAUUCGAAUUUUCCAUUAAAUCCCGUUUAAAAAACAGGAAUGUUGAAGAAAAUCUGAAUCUAGGGAGGGCUGUUUGGGGUUGCGCCCCCAGAUCCAGGUGAAGGGCACACUGUUCGUGUCCUCUGGGUUUAAAGGCGUACCCACAGAAAGCCCCAAAAAUGUCCAUCAGCCACUAACACCGCAGUAAGAGUGAGUAAGAGUGGAUUUGCCAGGAGUUUGGAGGCGGUAGCACCUGUAUGAGCAGGUCACCGACAGCUGCAGGGGGAGGCAGGGCUGCGACAUCCCAGCCCCAUGGGGGGCUCUCCGGAGGGGGGUGCAGGGCGAGGCGGGCGGCUGUGCGAGCCUCCUCCAGCUUAGCAUUUCCAUCUUUCCUGGAGCCCUGCCCAGGUCCCCAGGAUCCCCAGGAUCGCCAGGCCCUGCCCACUGAGCCCCAGAGCCUACCUCAGAUGACCAGGGGGUGUUCAGGGGUUGUUCCUGAAAGGGCCGAGAAUCGGUUUUCUGCACAAGAGCUCACCGGAGAGGCAGAGCUGGCCCUGCACUUGAGAGUUACGCUGGAAAGAGGCUGACGGGACCGGGUUCGAAUCCUGCCACCGCGGACUGGCCAUGUGAUCCUGAGAGCCGCCGCUCUGUGCCGAGGUCUCCACGUGCGCAAGGGGGGAGUGCAGAAGUCCCCACCCGACUGACCGGUUGUGAGGGCAGAAUGGGCGGAGCGAGGGCCAGAGCUGAGUGUCAGGAGGGUGGGUAGGGG